rnacentral:rRNA from 1 species
GACGGAGGGUGCAAGCGUUGUUCGGAAUUACUGGGCGUAAAGGGCGCGUAGGCGGUCUGUUAAGUUCGGUGUGAAAGCCCCCGGCUCACCUGGGGAACUGCGCCGGAAACCGACAGACUCGAGUACCGGAGAGGAGGGUGGAAUUCCUGGUGUAGCGGUGAAAUGCGUAGAUAUCAGGAGGAACACCGGUGGCGAAGGCGGCUAUCUGGACCGGUACUGACGCUGAUACGCGAAAGCUAGGGUAGCAAACGGG